UACGUAGGGUGCGAGCGUUGUCCGGAAUUAUUGGGCGUAAAGAGCUUGUAGGCGGUCUGUCGCGUCUGCUGUGAAAAUCCGGGGCUCAACCCCGGACUUGCAGUGGGUACGGGCAGACUAGAGUGUGGUAGGGGAGACUGGAAUUCCUGGUGUAGCGGUGAAAUGCGCAGAUAUCAGGAGGAACACCGAUGGCGAAGGCAGGUCUCUGGGACGUGACUGACGCUGAGACGCGAAAGCGUGGGGAGCGAACAGG
rnacentral:rRNA from 1 species